UACCUUUGCUUCUGCAAAGGUUUUUCGGUUCGUCAUGCACGAAGUGAAAUGAAAAGGGAAUCCCGUGAGAAUCGGGAACUAUCCCCGUAGCUGUAAGUUCUAUUUAUGGAGCACAACCUCCGCCACUGGUGCAAAAUCCGAGAAGGCGUGCUUUACGGAACAAGUCAGAAGACCUGCCUUUUGCAUACAGAACGGA
rnacentral:ncRNA from 17 species